AAUGAAAAUGUUAAGCAAUAAAAGCGAGGGAAUUCUAUGAAAAAAACUCAAGUUAUAAACUUAACUCAUAAGUAAAUUCUAGAAUCGACCGGAGCUUCA